GAUGAAGAACGCAGCGAAAUGCGAUAAGUAAUGUGAAUUGCAGAAUUCAGUGAAUCAUCGAAUCUUUGAACGCACAUUGCGCCCGCUAGUAUUCUGGCGGGCAUGCCUGUCCGAGCGUCAUUUCAACCCUCAAGCCCCCGGGCUUGGAGUUGGGGAUCGGCGAGCCUCCGCGCCCGCCGUCCCCUAAAUCUAGUGGCGGUCUCGCUGUAGCUUCCUCUGCGUAGUAGCACACCUCGCACUGGGAAACAGCGCGGCCACGCCGUUAAACCCCCAACUUCUGAACGUUUGACCUCGGAUCAGGUAGGAAUACCCGCUGAACUUAAGCAUAUCAAUAAGCGGAGGA
rnacentral:misc_RNA from 1 species